UGAAGAGAAUGGAAAGAUUCUGGUGAUCAUCCGAUCUGCCUUGUAAAUAGCUGUAAAUAAAGUUUGAGCCGCUUUUGAAAGCUGAUACAAAGGAGUCUGAUAUUACUCUCUGUGGUCCGAGCAGACAGCCCUGGAUCGUCAGAAGGAGAGAUUGAGACGGGGAAGGUUUUUAUUGUAUCAGAAGCAGAUUGAGGACAUGCAAGUCGCUUCUGGUGUGAGAGAACUGGAAGUCUACAAGGAUGUUACCCAGGAGACACCCAGAUGUGUUACCAUCCUGAGAGGCUUAUUUCAUGUCCCCACAUGGGAAGCUGGGGCUGACAGAUGGGAGCUCACCCUGCCUCACGGCUUCAAACCACCAACCUUCAGUGUUGUAACCCGCCUUGAGCUGUGAAGAAAAGUGGAUAAAUGGGAUUCAGAAGGGCCGUGAAAACAUGGUUAUGUGCCCAAGCUUUUGAUGAAUAAAUGACAAAGUUGACAUGGACUGAUUUGAGGAUGUAGAAUGAGGAUCUCAGACAAAUGGAAUUAAUUAUAUAUACGUUUUUAAGGUUUUAUAAUGUGUUUUAACAAUGUUAUUAAUAGAUCUGUUAUUGUUUUGUUUUUAUGAUUGUAUUUUGGGCAUUAAAUUUUGCCAAUUUUUGUAAGCCGCCCUGAGUCCCUUCGGGUGAGAAGGGCGGGAUAUAAAUGUUGUAAAUAAAUAAAUAAAUAA